rnacentral:lncRNA from 1 species
GUUGAUUCUCACAUUGUGGCGAUGGGAAAACAGAGAACAGGAACCAGAACGCGCCUGUUUCCUGCCAGAGUCUUACUGAGAUCCCCCCAAGAAACUGAAACGUUUUGCAAACCCCACUCUGCCUUCCGAAGCAGAAGGUGAAAGUAGACCCCCCCAAAAGAAGCCAAGCAGCACCACCAGCAUCCCACCAGACCCAGAGCCGCCUGGGCAUCGGUGCAGUGACCACAGAAGGCACAGACCCUGGAGCCGUCACCACCACUAGGAGUCGGGCCCAGGAGGGGGCCCAACUCUGCUGGGUCAUAGGUGCCAGGAGCGCAGGAGGUGCCUUCCCCAAAUGGAAGUCGUUUGUUGGCACUCUCAAGCCUGGAAGUGUUGUUUCUGCAUGCCACCUAUUCCCACCACGAACCACGGACUCCGAGCUUACUGCACAAGGAGGAAAGGGGUCAGGGCCGUGGGGGUGCUUCACCUGUGCCUGCUGCGCGAGACUGGCCCAGGCUGCUGGCGUGGACCCGGCCGCUCAGCACCUGGUGGGUCACAUGCUGGGCCCCCAGGUGCCAAGCACUGCUCAGAGGCACAGGUGUCCUCCCUCCACCUCCCUGCUCCUGUCCCCCUCCUGCUGCAGGGACCGUCUCUGUGAACCUCCUGCCUUGGACGGUGUGACAGUCCUUCUCCAUCUGAACCGAAAGGACAUGGUGAGCAGCGGAGCCGAGAGGGUGCUCAGGCCGGGGCGGGGCGGAGGCCAGAAGCAGUCAGAGCUUCCAGCCUGCCCGAGGGACGGCGGGACCCGCGGCCACCUCACCCCCGACGUCUCUGCCCCGGGCGCCUGCCGAGGGCGACACCUGUGCCCGCCGCGACGCAGCCGCCAGCGGGGACAAGGGCAGGCGGCCGGCCUGGGUGACGCCCGACGUGGGACGGCAGCUCGCGCUCCUGACCGCGAAAGAGCCCGGGACCUGCUUGAAGAUCAAAAAAAGUAAAUUAACAGGCAGGAAAAUGUGACCAAGAGAGCUGGUAACCUGACUAUGAUUUUCUGUCACUUUUGCUUCACGGAACUCGUUUCUGCACAGGGGCACGCGGGGGGGCGGGAGGUAGGCACCAUGCCUGCGUCACGCACACGCGCACACGGCCCCCCGUGCCUGCGUCACGCACACGCGCACACGGCCCCCCCGUGCCUGCGUCACGCACACGCGCACACGGCCCCCCCCGGCCUGCGUCACGCACACGCGCACACGGCCCCCCCCGUGCCUGC